UACGAAGGGUGCAAGCGUUAUUCGGAAUUACUGGGCGUAAAGCGUGCGUAGGCGGUUUCUUAAGUCCGUUGUGAAAGCCCUGGGCUCAACCUGGGAACUGCAGUGGAUACUGAGAGGCUAGAGUGUGUCAGAGGAUGGUGGAAUUCCCGGUGUAGCGGUGAAAUGCGUAGAGAUCGGGAGGAACAUCAGUGGCGAAGGCGGCCAUCUGGGACAACACUGACGCUGAGGCACGAAAGCGUGGGGAGCAAACAGG
rnacentral:rRNA from 1 species